GGAACCGUAGCUCAGCCGGGAUGAGCGUUCGCCUCACACGCGAAAGGUCACGAGUUCGAUCCUCGUCGGUUCCAC
rnacentral:tRNA from 1 species